AUUGAACGCUGGCGGCAGGCCUAACACAUGCAAGUCGAACGGUAACAGGAAGCAGCUUGCUGCUUUGCUGACGAGUGGCGGACGGGUGAGUAAUGUCUGGGAAACUGCCUGAUGGAGGGGGAUAACUACUGGAAACGGUAGCUAAUACCGCAUAACGUCGCAAGACCAAAGAGGGGGACCUUCGGGGCUCUUGCCAUCGGAUGUGCCCAGAUGGGAUUAGCUAGUAGGUGGGGUAAAGGCUCACCUAGGCGACGAUCCCUAGCUGGUCUGAGAGGAUGACCAGCCACACUGGAACUGAGACACGGUCCAGACUCCUACGGGAGGCAGCAGUGGGGAAUAUUGCACAAUGGGCGCAAGCCUGAUGCAGCCAUGCCGCGUGUAUGAAGAAGGCCUUCGGGUUGUAAAGUACUUU
rnacentral:rRNA from 1 species